rnacentral:rRNA from 1 species
AUGAGAUUAUCUGAGAAGGUCAGCACGAUCAUCUCGACGGCGCAAAGCGCCUUCCUCAAAACCAGAUGCUUGCAUGAUAAUUUUUUAUAUGUCAGGAACUCGGUUCGCUCGCUCCACCAGAGAAAGAAACCUACACUUCUGAUCAAACUUGACAUUGCCAGAGCUUUUGAUUCAACCUCUUGGGCAUUCAUUUUCGAUUUGCUUCAAUAUUUGGGUUUUAGUUCAUGUUGGAGGGAUUGGAUGGCUAUGCUCCUGGCUUCGACGUCCUCAUCCUUCCUGCUAAAUGGCACACCGGGGAGACACGUCAAACACCGUUCUGGUCUUCGACAGGGAGACCCACUGUCCCCUUUGUUGUUAAUCCUAGCAAUUGAUGUGCUGCGUCGUUUGAUCGCCAAAGCUGUAGAGAAGGGCAUCAUCGCACCGCUGCCAGGCCGAUCGCUCAAGCUACGCACCAGCCUCUACGCUGAUGAUGCAGUGAUUUUUGCCAAUUCCGACCGAGACAAGGUCGACAGUCUUAUGCACAUCAUCAGAUCAUUUGGGGAUGCAUCAGGCUUGCACCUAAACGCAGAAAAAUCAACUGUAACACCCAUCCGGUGUGAAUACGUAAAUCUGCAAGACAUCCUGUAG